UGCGACCCAAUCUGUAAUCUUGUUGCUUUUCCGCAGGGUAAGCAAACUUUAUCCCUGACACAAUGGAAAUGAGAUGAAAAAUCGAACCUAAUGUAGCAUAGCAAUUCCAAGGCCACGAGAGCGAGCGAUUGUUGAGGAUGUUGAUGAGGGUGAUGUUGUCGGAAUACACAACCACAUGUUCUGUGAACCUAGUUGCCAGUCUUGUAGCCUCCAAGAUAGGUCUUGCUUCCGCACUUAUCCCCGAAGAACAAAGGAAAGUACCAUUCUUGCCAUCGCAAACCUCUCCAUGGGUGUCUCUAACCACGACACCAUAACCUACCUCCUGGGAAUCGCAAAGAAAAGAUCCAUUACAGUAAAUACUCCUGUGAAGAGUAUUUGGCGGGGGACAUAUCUGUUGACGAUUGUGAGCAUAAUGGAUACAAGAGAUGGGCGCCUGGGUCUGAGAGUAAGCACACUCCCAGGUUGCGAAGUCUCUGUUGAUGCCCAAAUCCGUAACCAAACUUGUGGAUCGCGUCCAUCGAAAGAUGAGCUCAUUUCUCAUCUUCCAUAUAUUCCAGCAGAUCGCCGUCCACCCUCGUGAUAACCGUACCGUGGUGCCAAAUCAUGCAAGGAGAAAAACCAGUCGACAAGGAAGCUUGAGGGGGAGUGUAGAAUUACAAUGAUAAUUAGGGUGUGAGUAGGCAUAGAAAUUAGAGUAAGAUUAGCUGUCCUAGUUGAUCUUUCUAGCCUAAUUUAUGCUAUAUAUUAGUAGUAAGUGGUAGGUAGUAUAAUCCCUGAUUUAUAGGGAUUAUCAUAGGAGAUUCUGCAUCCUAAUGAUGCAGACUCUGUAUAUAUGUAACUGGAAACACAGAAAUAAUAAUCAUCAUACCAGAAUCAUUCUGAUCUCUGGAAUUCUACAGAACUCUUGGUAUCUUCAAAGGUAGUGAUGGCCCAAAAUGAUUCUAGAAGUCCUUUAAGUCUUAGGUUUUUCCCUAAUCGGUUAUGACAUGCUAGUAUAAUAUUUCAAAGUUAGUAAUAUGACUCAUAUACUCAUGAAUUGUUUAAGAAAUGGCUUUUCUCCAAGGCUGGUAAUUAGAAGUAGAAUGUAAAUAAGAUUUUAAAACUCUUGCGUCAUAUCUAUUAAUUGUGAAAAAAAUUCAUCGAUUAUCGCAAUUCGCAAGUCUGCUAUCAGAGCUCAAUAACAUAUAUAAUUAAAUUAUCCAAUGUUUGCUGGAAGUAUGUCAACUUAGCAAGUUUGUCCUAUUGCAUCACUACAUUACAUUUGGUCAUAUGCCUGAGUGCGUAAAUGAAUGAUCAGUGUCCGUUGUGUACCUAGAGACGUUGUUGACUCAUAUUAUGAACAGAUUGAAGAAGAAUCCCACAGGGUUUCCAAACUUGGAGAAUAUGAGGGCUUUUUGCGUGGCUUGGGCGACAAAGAGGUGGAUGGUGAUGGGAAAACAUUUUACAUAUAUGAAUACUACAAUUCUACACUAGCACAGUACAUCGAUGAUUGUAACGAAGCUGUUCGAGAGACAGUGGUGAAGUUAUCUAUGAGGUAUCUUAAAAAUUUAAUUGUUUAGUUAAUUGAUUUUUUUUUUAGAUAGUUAAUAGUUAUUUUGUUCGAUUUGCAGGAAGUUACUGAAUAUCGUCAAUGGGCUGCAUCAGCAUGAGAAUAGUAGAGGAUACGACGAGUUAGACCUUUAUGACUGUUCGAGAGACAGUGGUAAUAUCAUGGUCCUCAGUGACCCUGAUCACCUUAAUUUGUCAUCAAGCUUAUUGGAGCUGCUGAUAAAGACGAGUCAACCUCUAAAGCCGACGAUGUCAAACACAUGCUUAGGAUAUUUAAGAGGCAUCAAACAACAAAGAUGUCUCAGGACCCGGCAUUCAACUCUUUCAUGAACUGUGUCAGGUGAGUUAUUAGUGGUUUGAGUAAACAAUCAUUUUUAUACUUCAUAUUGUUUUAGGGUGAUUUUGGUAGAUAGUGUGGAUUUAAGACUCCAUAUUGUGUUUGCAUGAUCUGUUAGGGAAGAUAUAGGUUGUCUAACUUAUCAUUUUAAUUUUGUGAAGAAUAAACGCAAAGACCUUCACAAGGCUUUUUAUUUUCUGGAUCAUGAAGAAUAACCUGAUAAGUUUAACAAUGCCAUGAAAUAUGAAAACUGGGAAUCUAAGAUUAAGAGGGGAGUGGAUGAUGAUGGUGUCGCAACUGGUAAGAAUAUAAUUGUUUUCUCCAAUAGUUUUUUAGUUUCGAUUUUAUGGUUGUUUGGGUUUGGUUUAUAGUUCUUGGUGGCCAUUGUGGAUUGACAUGUUUUGUAGAUGUUAUUUUUUUUUCAACAGAAAGGAGGCCUACGCGUAGAGUUCUCAUAUCAGUCUACAACAAUCCUGAAUUAGUCGUUUUAGUCGAUGCAAUGGAUGUCAGCUCUUCGCCCUCUUCCUCUCAGGGACGUAAACAUUGUUUGAAUCCAAUGCCUAUACGCAAGCUUACAGAACGUAACUCUCCUGCAAGCUUUUUGAAGUUCUGCCGGAAUGUGAUGGCACACCAUGGUCGUGCAGUCACUCAAUACGAACGCUUACCGAUAAGUCUUUAUUUAUUUAUAAUUCAUCGAUUAUAAUCUUAAAACGAUUUUGAUAAUAAAAAAAAUUAAUGUUGUGGCUUCCAGGUCCUUGGAGAAGAAGCGGUCUACGAAGAAUUGACUACACUUUGGCCCAACUUCUUUGACACGUUGCACGAGAAGUUACUGAGAAAAAUUAAUUAGGCAAGCCACUGUCAUUUUAGUGCAAGCCACUCAUCAUUGGAAUGUUGGUCCAAUGUCCCAGCUGCUCUCAUAACUAAUAAUCAUACUCUUCAUUAGAAUGUUUGUCCAAUGUCCCAGAGAAUGAAAGAGGAGAAGUUGUACUUCUGCUGUAGGAACGGAAGGAUGCUUGUGAAUGGAACUUCUACUUCUGGUCAUAGUUUCAUGAGGAGUCUUUUUAGUAUUAUUAUCAAACUUCAUGAGGAGUCUUUUUAAGCUUCUAAGCUUACUAUCUAUAAUUUAGGUAAAUAAUAUGUUGAUUUAUGAACAUUUUUAUUGAUUGAUAGAUUGAAUUAAUAUUAGUGGGGUUAGAAAAUGGUGCAACCAACUUAGGAUGGCUACCAAUGGGUUCUAUUGAGAGAUUCGAGUUCGGAUUGCUUGAUUUGUUUGUCUUCGUCGAAACCAUUUCUCGAUCACUCCAACGAUGGAAAUUGACGGUGAUGAUGCAUAACUAUAACAAUAACUAUAACUAUUACAGUACUACACACCAUUUUUACCCUAGUAGAAGAAGGCGCUUUCGAUAAAGCUACGAGUACAGGGAAGUCCCAUCCCCUUUAUAAUAUACCGUUGGUUUACCAGACCUCAACCCUCAAAAACUCAUUUUCUACAUGCAGUUUCGGUCGUUUCAUCACAUGCUCCUCCACUCCCUUGCCCAACAAGGGGAACAACGGAUGCACCCUAACAACUGUCAAUCCGAUCCUCUCGUCUUGGGCAAACAACAGCGCAAAUGUGCUGCUGUCCUUGUCAUAUUCCAGUUCAAUCAGUUUAUUGCCCCAGCUAUCAUGACGUCCCUUUGCUACCAAAAUAACUUGAACUUCUGACGCUAUCCCAUCUUCAUCUAUCAAUGAAGCAAAGAGUAAAAGCCCCUUAUCCAUCUCCGGAAUAGAGAUGACAACAUAAGGCGACGAUUGCUGCCGCACUACUGCUGCCUCUGUUGGUAAUGACCACAAGGUGAUUGACCCUAUAUGAAACCAAUCCAUCCUACUCAUCUUCUUCCACUCUUUAUUCUUAACAUUAUAGCCAAACAUUACGGAAUCAACCCUCACAUACAGCAUGCUCCCAAAAACACCAUUAAACCCCAGCUCAUAACGGUGGAAUUUAUCAUCUUACAAUAAGGGAGGAGGACGAGGAAGAGGAUCCCANNN
rnacentral:lncRNA from 1 species